rnacentral:rRNA from 1 species
CUUACGGGAGGCAGCAGUGGGGAAUAUUGCACAAUGGGGGAAACCCUGAUGCAGCAACGCCGCGUGAGCGAUGAAGGCCUUCGGGUCGUAAAGCUCUGUCCUAAGGGAAGAAUACUGACGGUACCUUAGGAGGAAGCCCCGGCUAACUACGUGCCAGCAGCCGCGGUAAUACGUAGGGGGCUAGCGUUAUCCGGAAUUACUGGGCGUAGAGGGUGCGUAGGCGGCCCUUCAAGUCAGAGGUGAAAGGCUACGGCUCAACCGUAGUAAGCCUUUGAAACUGUAGGGCUUGAGUGCAGGAGAGUAGAGCGGAAUUCCCAGUGAAGCGGUGAAGUGCGUAGAGAUUGGGAAGAACACCAGUCGCGAAGGCGGCUCUCUGGACUGUAACUGCCGCUGAGGCACAAAAGCGUGGGAAGCGAACAGGAUUAGAUACCCCGGUAGUC